UCUGACGCGUUGCCUGCAUUUGACUGUGCUGAUGUUAUCCAACAGAGGAAUGUCUCGAGAACGUGUCUCCUUAUUCAACUCCAGUGCAGUUGCUGUGGCAACCUGAUCGACACAAUGACUUGGUGGACCCUGCGAUAUAAUACAAGAGAAAAAACCCGUGUCAAAAUCCCAGUUCAAUGCGUCUCCUGUCUGGAUGGCUUUCUCUCUCGCGCUUCCUGCCUUAUCCUCACUCUGCACGUAUGCUCAUUCACGUGCGCACACUUGUGCAGCACACACCCUAAUCACUUAGUGAAGGAUGCAAAAGGACAGUUUAAUCACAGCGAAGUAGCUCAAACACAGUGAAAAAAUACAUAAUCCCUGAAGUUGAGAGUCAUCCUUCUGAAGAAUACACACCAAUCAUCAUUUCCUGUCCACCACAAAUUCUUUUUCCUGUAAGGACUGACUUGCACAUUUCAGCCAAACUCUUUUCAUCCUCCUCCACAAGCUCUUCCAUGAGAGAUGCGCAUUCGGUGGGGAAGAUGGAAGAGGAGCCUGAGAGACGACUAUUUUCCAAAAGUUGGGUGUGCUGGCCGAUCAAAGGGAGUUAUGACAGAUUUAUGAUGAGAGGACAGCUGGGAAGAGGUUCAAAAAAAUAAAUUAAAGGCACACGUGAACUGCCGGCGUGCCGCAUGAAGGCAAUUGUAAUUGGAAAUCCUUGAUUAAAAUUGUCCUCACUAAAAGUCUGAGAUGUUUGUUUAUCUGGGGGAUGAAUCGUGUUCCACAAGCACCGUUUUACCAGGCACGAGGUCGUCUGUCACAAAAUGAUGGGAUUUGUGAUGGAUCUACCAGGCAUAUGGCAUCAAAAUUUAAUUUCCCUGAUACUGAAUGGAUGCUCUUUUUUUUUAGUAACAAAAAUAGGAUAAAGCAGAAAUAAGUGCAUUACUGAUGCGAUGUUAACUUAGUGGAUGGAAGGAUUAAAACGGUCCUUUUGGUGAGCUAAGGCCUGUGCCAGGUCUGCUGUGCUGCCUCAGCUAUUUUUUCCUUUUCUUCUCAUUAAUAUUUUCUCUUUCCUCCUUUUGUUCUUCAGCCCCCUUCAGCAGGGUAAUCCUCAUUUCCUUAUCGAAGUGAUUGUCAUUGGUGAGUGGAUUCUCGGAUCAGCAGAGAGAGAGCGGGACAACAAGGUGUCCCUGCUGACAAAGAUGCAUUAAGAUGGGGAUGAGUCACCCAAUCUGCCGAGCUCAUCUCACUGCCAGCAAAGGGGGUUCCUCUAUACCUCCAUUUUUUUUCCUUCACUGCAGUGAGGUCUCUCCCUCCCUCGCUGGUUUGCUUCUUCCCAAAGCCCGUCUCCCUCUAAAUGAUCUGGGGGCGAGGGAUCCACUGACAGCGCUAUACCAGCGGAGGACGGCAGUCGAUCGGAAACACAGCGUCUAAAUAAUCUUGGCUACCUUUAUGAGCAUUAUCUCUGAAAUAUAUUACCCUUUUUCUUUCUCCCUCUGUAUAUCUGAGAUAAGAUCAUUUACUUCUAAUUUAUUUCUCUGGCUUUGUGCAUCCUGCAUCGAGCACUCUUCUGUAGACCUAUCAGGUUUCCUGAAAAUCAACUUUUAACCUGUUUUGUUUCAUCGGUUGUUGAUUGAUGUUUCUAGAGCUAUUUGUUGGAUUACAGUAACAAUAAUGCACAGAAACGGAAAAAACCAGAAAGGACGUUUUUAAAGCUGAAUAUUCAUAAUUAGAUGUCCGCAUCUAUUCUCAGAUGUGCAACCCACGCUCACAGCAUCCAGUUACAAUUCACAGACUCCGAAGCCUUCUUUACAGUCAAUACCCUUUUUUUUAUUCUUGUAAUAUUUUGAGAAAUUAUAUAUUAAUACUUUUUUCAGUUCUGUUUCAACGGUCAGAUGUCAUAAACGUCGACAUAAAGCUUAAUGGCGCAGUUUUUUUACGGUACGCCCCCACAGGAAAGCCAGCCAGAGCAACUUGCACAGCUCGACAUCAUGCAAAAGACUGAACCUCCACAAAAACAGGAAAGAAAUCGGACUCUGUGAGCUGUAAUGUUGCAUAUCUGACCAAACACACAAGUCAUAAACGUGAUUUGCGGAGGCUUCAGAUGGAUCAUAAACAUCCAGUAGCUGUUUUUGUUUAACUUAUGAACAUGGUUGUGAUUUUGAGUUUGUGUACACAAGACUUCC